rnacentral:rRNA from 1 species
GACGAACGCUGGCGGCGUGCCUAAUACAUGCAAGUAGAACGCUGAAGGGGGAGCUUGCUUCUCUGGAUGAGUUGCGAACGGGUGAGUAACGCGUAGGUAACCUGCCUGGUAGCGGGGGAUAACUAUUGGAAACGAUAGCUAAUACCGCAUAAGAGUAGAUGUUGCAUGACAUUUGCUUAAAAGGUGCAAUUGCAUCACUACCAGAUGGACCUGCGUUGUAUUAGCUAGUUGGUGGGGUAACGGCUCACCAAGGCGACGAUACAUAGCCGACCUGAGAGGGUGAUCGGCCACACUGGGACUGAGACACGGCCCAGACUCCUACGGGAGGCAGCAGUAGGGAAUCUUCGGCAAUGGACGGAAGUCUGACCGAGCAACGCCGCGUGAGUGAAGAAGGUUUUCGGAUCGUAAAGCUCUGUUGUAAGAGAAGAACGAGUGUGAGAGUGGAAAGUUCACACUGUGACGGUAUCUUACCAGAAAGGGACGGCUAACUACGUGCCAGCAGCCGCGGUAAUACGUAGGUGGCAAGCGUUAUCCGGGUUUAUUGGGCGUAAAGAGAGUGCAGGCGGUUUUCUAAGUCUGAUGUGAAAGCCUUCGGCUUAACCGGAGAAGUGCAUCGGAAACUGGAUAACUUGAGUGCAGAAGAGGGUAGUGGAACUCCAUGUGUAGCGGUGGGAUGCGUGAUAUAUGGAAGAACACCACUGGCGAAGGCGGCUACCUGGUCUGCAACUGACGCUGAGACUCGGAAGCAUGGGGUGCGAACAGG